AUUGAACGCUGGCGGCAUGCUUUACACAUGCAAGUCGAACGGUAACAGGGAGCUUGCUCCGCUGACGAGUGGCGAACGGGUGAGUAAUGCAGUCGGAACCGUACCCAGUCGGUGGGGGAUAACGUAGCGAAAGUUACGCUAAUACCGCAUACGUCCUGAGGGAGAAAGCGGGGGACCGAAAGGCCUCGCGCGAUUGGAGCGGCCGAUGUCGGAUUAGCUAGUUGGUGGGGUAAAGGCCUACCAAGGCGACGAUCCGUAGCGGGUCUGAGAGGAUGAUCCGCCACACUGGGACUGAGACACGGCCCAGACUCCUACGGGAGGCAGCAGUGGGGAAUUUUGGACAAUGGGGGCAACCCUGAUCCAGCCAUGCCGCGUGAGUGAAGAAGGCCUUCGGGUUGUAAAGCUCUUUCAGACGGAAAGAAAACGCAUCGGUGAAUACCCGAUGUGGAUGACGGUACCGUAAGAAGAAGCACCGGCUAACUACGUG
rnacentral:rRNA from 1 species